rnacentral:tRNA from 1 species
GUCUAGCUGGCUCAGUUGGUGGAGUAUGGGACUCUUGGUCUCAGGGUCAUGAGUUCAAGCCCCACGUUGGGCA